UUACAGCAUCUGUAAUGUGGUUACAUGUGAAUGUGACAAUCGCACGUCGGAAGAAACAUGUGCGGGUGGCCUAUGACAUGCGACAGACAGCUGUUAGUUUUAGUUUAGUUUAGUUUAGUCAAUUCGUUUAUUCUUAAAGUAAAUAUAUCUUAAAGUAAUAUGCCAUUUAUAAAGAUAAGCAGUGUAUAAACCAUUCAGUGGGCUGGACUAGUGUAGAGUUUCAGACUGUAGAGGAGGGGCGUACAGCGUUUCUAACAGAUCGACCCAGACAAUGACUUUGUUGUUGCAGGUCGACAAACUUUUCCAGGUGAUGCGUGCCAUCCUUGGACGGCUGUGACAGUAGCCUGCCGCAAAGCGCAUCAGCAGCACCCCAGCGUCGACUUUUAUGUGACCAUUUUUAGACAGAAAAACGAGGAUAUAUUCCGACCAUGUUUUUUUUACAAGUAUUUAUUGCCUGCCUGUGGCCGCAGUGUGUAUUGGCCCAGACCAAAACUCAGGGCGCGGUUGUGGAGGCUCGUAAUAUCACACUCCCGGCGGGCUCCAACGCCAUGCUGCCGUGCCACAACCAGCGCGUCAUGUGGCGGCAGGACGGCCUGCGUGAUCGCCAGCGUGUGGUGCACUGGGACCUCUAUCGCAGCCGCCCUCAUGAAGGGGUGGAGCGCGUUCUGGACCUCUUCCCCGGGGGCAGUGAGCGCCUCUAUACCAACUACAACAAGGGCCGCGUCACCAUCUCCCCUGAAGCUUUCACUGAUGGCAACUUCUCACUCAUCAUCCACAAUGUGGGGGUCAAUGACAGAGGUCUUUACACAUGCAAUCUGCAUCACCACUACUGCAACAUUCACCAGGCCCUUCAGCUGCAGCUCAAUGUCACUAAGUCAGCCCAUAAGGAGAAGCGUUUUUGGGACGGAGAUAAAUCCGUGUUUGUGGUCCUGGCGGGGACCACUGUGGUUCUGCCCUGCAUGAACCGCCGGCCGCUGUGGAUGGAGGGCAACCAGGAGGACCAGCAGCAGGUGGUCCACUGGGACUGGCAGCCUCCGGGCGUCCGUCCAGACAGUGCAGAGCGUCUGGUGGACCUCUACGCCUCGGGCGAGGAGCGGAAAUACGGCCCGCACUUCCUGCGUGAGAAGAUGAACAUCACAGCGGAUGCCUUCUCGCGGGGAGACUUCUCUCUCAGCAUCUCCGACCUGCAGCCGUCGGAGAAGGGCCUGUAUGUCUGCCACCUGCACCACCACUACUGCGGCCUGCAUGAGAGACGCAUCUUCCGCCUCAUCGUGGGGUCCCCCGUCCAGCAGCCCCUCCCCACAAGCCCCCAAGAACUACCAGAGGUGUCCGUCAACAACAAGCCCACCCAGAGCCGCCCUGUUGUUAAGUUGCCCCUGGACAAUGAGGAUGAUCCAAACACAAACCUGGUGGAGACGGCGCGAGUUUUCAAUGUCAUCGUGCCAGAGCCACGCAGUCACUUCCUCAACCAGCUGGGCUACGUCUUGGCCAUCUUCCUCCUGCUCACUCUCAUUGUUGUCGCAGUGAUCCUGCUCACACGGAGCCGCAGGAAGAGAGAGCUGGAGUAUGAUAUAAGUAGAUCUGAACGGGGGCAAAGGACAGCUAUUGAGAUGGAGCCCACUGGACAAAAGAACUGCAAUCAGGAUGACAUCAGGGGUGAGAGACAUUUAACUACAAGAACAACAUAAUGAAGGAGCAGGCAGAUAUGUCCUAUGCUUCUUCCUCAAGAGUCAUAGACCUCAAUAAAGAAAUGGAGAAGAUGUCAUGGAAGUGAGGUGCUGCCUGAUAGGCUGCUGGCUGGCCCAGAGCGAAUGGAAAUGGCGAUGAGACGACCAAUCAGAAUGCUGGGAGAUUCACGGAUCAAGCCAUAAAGGAGGUGUUGCCAUUGUGUCUGCUGUUCAAUAAGCUUCAUGCUACCAACUUUUCUUUUUUCCUGAUACCUUUGUACUAUGUUUAUCACUGCUAAAGCUAUAUAUUCAUUUAGGAUAUUGUAUGCUUUAGGUCGUAGUGUCAUACAUUGACAUUAGUGGUCAAGCUUGCAUUAAUAGCCACUCGACGAGAUGGAUAUCAAUACACUGUGUCCUUGUUAGUGUGCUCUUUUUUUGUACCGUUUCUGUUUUUCCUCAUUCAAAAAGAAAUAAAAGGGAAGCUGUUGAUGAUGGACAAUGAUCGGUGACUUAAAAGGGGACGUUCUGUCUUUCAAGCUGCAUUCAUGUUGCAUGAGCCUCUGGUGCUCUGCAUAAUUUUGCCCAGUCCUGAUCCUUGGGCGAUCUUUUAGACACAAAAGCGAAGGGGCUGUCAACCAAGAGAGGCAUUGUAUUUCUCAGGAAUUCACUUGCACACCAGAACGUGUUGGUGUGAGUGUGUGUGUGUGUGUGUGUGUGCGCGUGUGUGUGUGUGCGCGUGUGUGUGUUUGUGUCUUUCUCUCUUGCAUUGUUAGGGUGAACAAGCAGAGAGGGUGCUUCCAUUCCUAUUAUUACUGUAUGUUGUUUUUGAACUAUUACAAUGCAUCUGAUAUCGGGGUGCAUGACAAGUUCAGCUCUCAACUGGUUGCAUAACUCUUAGCAACUGAAAAUGGUCAGAUCAGAUAGGAAUAGUUCUAACCACCCUCACCACUGUUUGGGUCUGCUGUUUAAUUAGUUUGAGUUGGGAAUGUCCGUGUGUGAUGCCAAGUCUAGUACCAAUCCCCACCAGACUAAAUUCACUGCCUAUUUUGUCUUCUGAAGAAAGUAUUCUGAAGUGCUCAUAUAACUUCAUCAAAAGUCUUGUUUUGAGAUCUGCUUACAUUCCUCAAAAUAGGUUGCCAAAAAUGUCAAAUGUCAUCAAAUGUCACAGUACUGAAGCUGAUGACCAUAGCUUCACAACAGAUGAAAUGAUCUUUACAUAUUCAGUGAUAUUUUUUGAUCAUGGUCCAGUUUGAUUUAAGUUAUUUUGAACAUUUCCUAAAACUGGUCCUUAAAUUAAUUUGUUUCUGUCAGGGGGAAACAAUGCAUGUGGCAUUUGAUGGCAGCAGACUGCAAACCAUCAGUUAGGAGUGAAAUUAAAGCAAGUCCAUGCAGACAAGCCAGAUUUGUACAGACAUAUAAAGAACAUGACCCUAAUGUCAAAGAUAAGCCUGUGCACAUAUAAUGCUGUACAUAAGGAAGAAGAAGUAUACUUUCGGUGAGAUUACAAUCCUCUUUGCUUUUAGCUUUCAGGAUGAUUUAUCAUGCAAUAUUGUUAAUAAUCAUUUGAACUUAUGUGAUCUUUUUCCUUUUCUUCAUUUUCCCUUUUGUGAUUUUUUCAUCUAAUCAUAAAUACUGUAUGAUUACAUCACACUAUGUAUUUUGUAUCAGUUUACUACUUAUUACAGUGGGCGUCCUUAUAGAGAGCAAAAGACAGAGUUAAUGCCUUAUUGGUUUCAUAUUUAGGCCAGCAGAAUACUAUGGUGAUUGCCUAGAAUUCCUCUUAUUCUUUUAUAAUUGAUAUAAACGUUUCAGGUACUUCCUUAUUUGCUGUCUCUGUAUUUUAGUGUAUUUUGCCAACAUUUAUGUCUCAUGUUUGUUGUCAGUGUUGGGAGGAAGAGAAAUGUCAAAUAUUCAGCUAACACCUUUUAUAUGCCAUUUAAAAAUAAAAACAAAUCUUGUAA